CACAUUCAACCAAAAAAAAAACUCUAUAACAUUUGAAAAUUUUCAAUUUUGCCCUUAGUUAAAAUUUAAAAGAUGAAAACCUACAAUUAUUUUAUCUCACGAUUUCUCUCUAACUAGUAGCCCCCUCUUCGAUUUUCAUCCAUUUUCCCAACCGUUGCCAUCGAUUCAAAUCAGGUGCUGCCAUGAAUUCAUCUUAAAAUAAGAAGAACAAGACGAAAACAAAGGUAAAUUUUUAUGAUUUUAUAGAUUUAUUUAGUUGUUGAUAUGUUAGUUUUUUUGAUUUGUUGAGUUUAUGAUUCUGUUUGGUUGCUGAGAAAAUUAUGGCUAAUUUAUUUUUGUUUUGUUUGUUUAUUGAACUAGACUUCAUUAUUUUCCUUGAUUAAUUAAUUAUGGAUAAGUUUAUUGAACUAGCCUUGAUUCGUUUGUUUGGUGGGUUUAUGAUUUUGUUUGGUUGCUGAGAAAAUUAUAGCUUAGUUAUUUUUGUUUUGUUUUGUUUAUUGAACUAGCUUUGAUUAAUUAAUUAUAACUGAGAUUAUUAAAAAAUAGCACCAAUCAGAGCUAGAAAGAAAAAACUCUCAUGAAAAAGCUAAUAGGACUAGGAGAGUUUAUUAAGCUGGUACUUUUUCUACUCGCAUUUAGUAGUUUUUUCAUUUUAUUCUUAAAAUUAAAAUAAAAUUUGCAUCGUAGUUGAUUUUUUUCCUUCUCACAUAGUGAAUAUAUAUUUAACUCAGUUCAUUUGUUUUUGUUCGAAAUGGUUCAUAGGAAUGAUGAGAGAAAUGAAUGGCAAAUUCUGCAUAAUUGCUUUUCUUUAUUGGGAAUUAUUUUCGGUCUUAUUUUGAUGGUUUUCUAUUCUUUACGUUUCUAGAUGUUAACUGAUUUGUAACUGAAAAUGGAAAUGAUUAUACUUGAAUUAUAGUGCAAUGUAAUUGAAAGCUAUGGACUAGCAUUGAAUUGGUAAAAUAGUAGUGGGAUUUGGUUGACAUUGACUUGUUUUAACUUCUUUUCUUUUCAGAUAUAAGUUGGUACACAAUCACUGGAAGGGAUCACAACUACCCGGAGAUAUUGCGAAGAUUUAGUGACUUCCUAGAUUUACUUUCAUAAGUAAGUGGGCAUUUCAUUUGUAGCACCUUUAAAAGUAAAUUAAGUUUUUACUUAGUUCCUGUGCUUUUUUAAUUGUUUUUCCCCUGUUCAAGUAAACUUUUGCAAUUAUUAUGCAUAUCUUGCAACUUUUAACCUUAUUAUUCUAAUUGAGUAUGUAUGUAUGAAUUUUGUUUUUAAAAUUAAGACAUGAAUAAUUCUUUAAUAAUAUAAUUGCUUAGGAAAUGGUUUAAGGUACUUCUCCUAGCCAUAUUUAUUAUGAUUAUUUCUGGUAUUAUAUAAAAAAUUUAGUGCUCCAAUUACUAUUAUUUUUUCCUACAUUGAUGAUAGAACUGCUUAGGAGCACUAGAUGGUACAUGUAUUAGGGUGAGAGUGCCUGCAACGGAUAAACCUACGUAUCGAAAUCAAAAGGGAGAGAUUGCCACUAAUGUUUUGGGAGUAUGCUCCCAAGACAUGCAAUUCAUUUAUGUUUUAAGUGGUUGGGAAGGGUCAGCGGCUGAUGGUAGGGUUCUUCAUGACGCUAUAUAUAAAACAAAUGGUUUAAAUGCCCCAAAUGGUAAGUCAUAUUCAAGAAAUAAAUAAAUUCUGAAAUAUAAACUUUUAGUAAUUGAAAUCUGAAUAUUUAUUUAUGAUAUAAGUUACUACUAUUUAAUAGUUGCUGGAUAUGCUAAUUGUCGAGGAUUUCCUGCUUCUUAUUGUGGACAAUGGUACUACCUUAAUGACUGGAAGAAAAACUAUCAACCAACUAUUUCACAAGAGUUUUUUUAACAUGAAGCAUUCAGCUGCUAGGAAUGUUAUUGAGAGAUGUUUUGGUGUUCUUAAAAAUCGGGUGGGCAAUUUUAAAAAAUCUUUCAUUUUAUCCUAUCAAGACACAUAAUAAGAUUAUUAUGACUAGUUGCUUACCACACAAAUUAAUCAGGAAGGAGAUGCCAUGUGAUCCUUUUGAGGAAGCAUUUGAUGAUGUAAAUGAGGUGGAAUCACUUAGAGAUAGCACGAUAACUAGUAUAGAAACCUCAGAAGAGUGGAAUACAUGGAGGACACAUUUAGCACAAGAGAUGUAUCAUCAAUGGAGAGCAAGCAGGCAGAGCACAUGAAGGCUCCUUGAAAAUUUUUGUUUUAAUCAAUGGAUUGUAUAUGUACUAUUCAUGUUUCUAAAUUUGAGGAUUUUGUUUUAUUUGGGUAACUUUUGAUAUUGUUUAAAAAAAUUGGAUUUGCUUCAGUUUCAAGUUUUUUUGUAGUUAAGUAUGUUGACUUUAAUGAAUAUUAGUGAAUGUAUUAUUAUUUUUAUCAAAUAAAUAUGUAAUCUUUGCCUCUAAAAAAUUGGAUUUACUUUAAUUUUAGAUUUUUUUGCAGUUACAUUUGCUGAAUCUAAUGAAUAUUGGUGAAUGUAUUAUUAUUGUUAUCAAAUAAAUAUGCAACCUUUGCCUCUAAAAAAUUGGAUUUGCUUUAGUUUCAGUUUUU
rnacentral:lncRNA from 1 species